rnacentral:misc_RNA from 1 species
AAGUCGUAACAAGGUUUCCGUAGGUGAACCUGCGGAAGGAUCAUUAUUGAAUAAAUUUGGGUGAGGUUGUAGCUGGCCCUCUCUGGGGCAUGUGCACGCUUUGCUCAUUUCCACUCUCUACACCUCUGUGCACUUUCCAUGAGUUCAGGUCCAAGUUGUGUAACACAAUAAACGACCUUGAUUUCAUGCGUUAUCAACACACACAUUGUUUUGUUUCAGAAUGUCUCCAUGUCAUGCGUAAAUGCAUAUAAUACAACUUUCAGCAACGGAUCUCUUGGCUCUC